GGCAAUGAUGAGGUUCUUCCCAAGUAUUCUUCAGCCAUCUCAACCAAACUUAUUAGGAUUUCUUCAAUGCGAAUCUAAAACAUGAGAACCUAGAAGUACUUGUAAAGGGGUCUGGCCACCUCAGUUCUGGGUCCUCUGAAAUUUAUUGGAUGACUCAAAGCCGUGAAGUUGAGUCUCAGCAGGGGCUUUCAUGAGUGCAGAACAUGUCAACUGACUGAAGUUCUUCCUGACUGAUUCUCCACUAUCUCAGGCAAACUUGUUUUUGCCUUCCUCCUCAAUGUAUGACUGACUUCCUCACGCUCAUUUGCUUACAUCACAGUAACUCAGGUGAAAAAGAAGCAAGCAUGAAAUUAAAAUCAGGGCAUCUUAUUAAAAUGAGACAAAUUUAUUAA